rnacentral:rRNA from 1 species
UACGGGGGGGGCAAGCGUUGUUCGGAAUUACUGGGCGUAAAGGGCUCGUAGGCGGCCCACUAAGUCCGACGUGAAAUCCCCAGGCUUAACUUGGGAACUGCGUCGGAUACUGGUGGGCUUGAAUCCGGGAGAGGGAUGCGGAAUUCCCGGUGUAGCGGUGAAAUGCGCAGAUAUCGGGAGGAACACCGGUGGCGAAGGCGGUUCUCUGGGCCUGUUCUGACGCUGAGGAGCGAAAGCGUGGGGAGCGAACAGG